UCCCUGGUGGAAAAUUGGCUAGCAUGUGGCACUCUUAUCUCUGUGGUCCGGGUUCAAUUCCUGGUCAGGGAA